rnacentral:lncRNA from 1 species
GUUAUUAGGGACUAGUAUAUUUUUAUUAAUUAAUUAAUAUACUGCUAGUAAUUUUUAUAUUAAGUAUGAAAAUAAAAAUACCUCUUAAUCUAUAAUAAUCUAAUAUUCCUACUGACUGAAAAUCUAUAAUGAUUCAACUAUAUUGCUAACACUUUUACAACUAUAUAUCUUACUCUAGUUGAAUAAAAAUAAUUUAAAUAUUUUUAAUAUGAAAAUAUAAAAGAUUACUAAAAUAUUACAAAUUUUGAGCCGAACAUGCUCUUGUCAAUUAUUACACUUUCUACAAAUCAUUUAGUCGGUGCAAGUAUACCCUUAUCUAACCAUUAAAAUCUAAAAUAAAAAAUCCGGCUCUGCAAAGAAAUUCACUAAAAAAUUUAAGCUAAAUACACCUCUCAUAUGUAUCACCGUCACGUUUCCCUCUCUACAUUAAAUUGAGAUCGAUGCCGAGGAGAUUCUAAAUGUUUCUCUUUCUACAAUAAUUGAGAUCGGCAACGAAAAGGCUCUAACUUGCUCCAACAUUAAUUAGGUCGGCGCUGGAAUGCCUUACCACGGAGUUCUUGAAAACCACUUCUUCAUGAGUAGGGGUGGAAACGAGCCGAGCUCGAGCGAGCUCAUGUCAGCUCAAAUUCGGCUUGAAAUUAAUUUCGAGCCUAAAUCUAGGCUCAAGCUCGGCUUGAAAUUAAUUCGAGCUGAGCUCGAGCGAGCCUAAUUUCAAGUCGAGCCGAGCUCGAGCUCUAAACGAGCCGAUUGAAAUUCUCAACAUUAUAUAAUCAAUAGUUUAAUUUUUAUAGAACAUUAUCUAUAAUUUGAUGCAAUAUGUUCAAUAGUUCAAAAUACAAAAUAAUUGUAAGAAAUGUGAGCUAGGGUGACUGCCUGACUAGGUGAGGGUCAGAGAGAGAGAGAGAGGGAAAAAAAUUAGAGAUUUGGGAAUUUGAAUGUUAUCAUGUUUUAGGGUUAUGUGCAACAGUGAAAGUCUGAAAGAGAGAGUGUGUUAUGUAAAUUUAGAGUUGGGCUCAAUUGCACGAUUGUACUUGUUGGGUUUAUUUUAUGGGCCAACAAUAAUGGCCCAAAUUAAAUUAAAGCUAUAUAUAAUUAAAAUACAUUAUAUAUAUAUAUAUAUAUAUAUUUUCGAGCUUUCGAGCUUUUCGAGCCUAAUUCGAACGAGCCGAGUAAUACUUAAGCUCGGCUUGAAAUGAAUUUCGAGCCUUUUAUUUUGUUCAAGCUCGGCUCAUUUAAUUUCGAGUCGAGCUCGAGCGAGCCAAAUAUCGAGCCGAACACGAGUCGAACGCGAGCCGGCUCGCUAGUUUGCCAGCCCUAUUCAUGAGUACUAGUGAGGCUAGUUGCGUGGUCAUUACCCCACUACUACAUCAUCAAUAACAAGUAAAUUAAUUUGCAACGGCGCAAUCCGUCAGUAAUAAUAACUCGUUGAAUUCAAACCACCGGCCCAAAAUGCUUAAGAUCAGUUAUUAUUAUUAGCGUGUAGAUUUCAUAUAAAUUAAUUGGAAUCAGUAUCCCAUCCGAUGUGGGACUAUUUGGACAUUACAAAUUUCUUCUGUUUAGAUCCUGACGUCCUCGUCAUCUCUAAAUCUAGAUAGACAGACAGAUCAGGACCAGAAUUAUCAGGUAAUGUGAAAUUCUAAAUGUGGCUCCUACGGAUUCAAGAGGUGGCUCCCACCAAACUCGUUGGUGUAGUAUUUUGUCCCGUAUAGCACUUAGCUCUCACAUUUCCGGCUGAUUUUCAACUCUGAUACCAAAUGUACCGAUCCGACCGGUUAGCAAAAAUCACUGAACUUAAGCAUUUUGGACCGAUGGUUUGGGCCCAACAAGUUAUUAUUGCUAGCAAAUCGGAUCGUUACAAAAUUACAUCUUUUUGUUUGAGAUAUAUAAAAGUACAAUAAAAAUAUUUUUUUACUGACAAUGAUGGGCUGGAUCGACGAAUUUAAAAAAAUAAAAUAAUUCUAUUGUGUUGGAGAGAGGCUAUAUCAGUAAUAUAAUCGAUACAUAAGUGCGCGGAGAAUAUACAUAAACUUAGCCAAUCAAAAAUUGCAUGCAUAAAUUAUUGAGUGCAUUGAAAGUUGAGCUGUGAUGAUCUUCCCAAUCACCUCCUCGUGUUCAACGUGUAGCCGUCCCUUUUUUUAAUUAAUUAUUUUUAAUUUCUUAUUAUUACUUUUUAGGUACCAAUUGGUGGGGCCCACUAAUUCACUAGAUUCCGGAAAGUUCGGGACAAUAUUGCGAAAUGAUUGUACAUGCACGUCGUGUAUUGCGCGCUUUACACGCAAAAAUUGGAUUUAAUUUUGUUGAAUAUUAGUAUAUUUAAAAAUAUUACUUUUUUCAAAUAAAAGCUCAAGGCUCCGCAUUAUUCACCACGUAAAAUAUUUGAUGAUUGAUAUCUGAAGUACUAAGCUUUAAAUUUAAUUGCUUCUUGAGCUGGUAAUCCAGCGUGCUGUUCACGAGUUCAACUCGUGUUCGGCUCGAAAUGAAUUCGAGACCGAUCGCUUGUUUAAUAUAUGAUACUAAAUGAAGCCGAACGGAAGGUAAAUUGUUUUGCUCAAAAUUUUAAUGAAGUCAGCUCCCUUGUGUUCGACUCGUUAAUAAAUAAGCCGAUCACGAAUAAAAUUUCUCAAUUCAAAAUUUUAAUGAUCCAACUCGUGCUCGGCUCGUUUAUUUAACAAACCGAAUAUAAGCCAGCCUCAGCCCGCUAGUGUUCGGGUCGUUGACAACCCUGAUUGCUUUAUUAAACGAACCAAACACUACGACAAAAACGGUCUAUAGCGACAUUUUUAAAUGUAGGUACAUGUCAAAAAAGUGCUGCUAGCUAAAAUUACCGACACUUUUAAAAAGUGUUGCUAUAUGUGGGGUCGCUAGGUAUAUAGUGACAGUUAAAGAGUGUCGCUAUAACCUAAAAGAGUACUGCUAAUUUACCAACACUUAUUUAAGCAUUUAGCAAUCGCCGAAACUCUAUCUCGUUGGCUGCGGUGGCGGAGGAGGACGACAGUAAAGGCUCUUCGUCUAGAAUUUCAGUAGAUUGAGUGAAGAGAGAAGCAAAAGAUGGUAAUUGAUUUUUCUUUUUUUUUUCUUUUCUGUUUGUAAUAGGGCCAAAUGGACUGGAUGUGGUGGGUUGAGUAGAGUAAUCUUUUAUUUUUGGUUGGAUUGGACUUUAUAUUUAGACAUUAGUAGAUGUAUUUUUAAGUUUUAGUAUAAAUGAGACACUUACUCAAAAGUGUCCCAAACAUGUGUUCCUAUAACCUAAUUCUGUUAUAGUGAAAUACAAUUUUAUAUAAUUUAACAUGAUAGCAGAGUAGGAAGUUCUGAGUUCGAAACUCACCUUGCUCCUAGAUUCAUUGAAUAUACUCCUAUUUAAUUAUUUACGUCUUAGACCUAUUAAAUUGUGCUAGCAGAGACGAAGUUGUGUUUGAGUCCCACCUCACUCUAAGCUUCACUGAAUUUACGCCUACUUAAUUAUUUGGGAAAACUUCAAAAAUCUCCCCUGUGGUUUCACACUUUUUCAUUUUAGUACCCUGUGGUUUAAAGUGUAUCAAGUUAGUACCCUGUGGUUUCUCACUUUAUCACUUUAGUACCCUGUGGUUUAAAGUAUAUCAAGUUAGUACCCUGUGGUUUUACACUUUAUCACUUUAGUACCCUGUGGUUUCACAUUUUAUCACUUUAGUACUCUAUAGUUUAAAAAACCACAGGAUACUUACUUGAUAUAAAAUUAAAACCACGGAAUAGUAAAGUGAUAAAGUGCAAAACCACAGGGUACUAACUUGAUACACUUUAAACCAUAGGGUACUAAAGUGAUAAAGUGAGAAACCACAGGGUACUAGCUUGAUACAUUUUAAACCACAGGGUACUCAAGUGAAAAAAAUUAAAACCACAAGGGGGCUUUUUGAAGUUUUCCCUUAUUAUUUCACACCUUAGAUCUAUUAAAAUGCCAGUUUGAGAUGAGACGCGAGGGCGAUUAUUUUAUAGGGAAAACUUCAAAAACCUCCACUGUGGUUUUGCACUUUCUCACUUUACUACCCUGUGGUUUAAAGUGUAUCAAUUUGCCCCCCUGUGGUUUUGUUUUUAUCUUUUCGGCAUUUUUUUUUCUUAAUAUUUCGUUAAAUUAUAUACAAAAAACUUCAGAUACCUACAUAGAUUUAUCGAAUAUUUAUUUUAAUACUCUUUAAUUUUAACUUUGUCACUGAUAUAAGAAAAAAAAAAAUAAUAAAAUUGAUACUGAAAAGAGAAAAACGAAACUACAGGAGGGCAAAUUGAUACACUUUAAACCACAGGGUAGUAAAGUGAGAAAGUGCGAAACCACGGGGUUUUUUUGAAGUUUUUCCUAUUUUAUACUCUUUAACAAAUUUAUUGGACAUAACCGACCGUUCCUAGAGCAAAUGACAAAGGGCUUAGUGGUUGGUACCCGAGACCCAAGUUCGAAUCCUAGUUGAUUCACAUUUCCAGCUAAGUUUAUUUCUAAAUGAAAUAAACGAAGCGGGUAGCGUGCAAUCUAUCUUUCAAAAAAAAAAAAAAAAAAAUUUAUUGGAUAUGUUUCAUAAUAUUUGGGCAUAUAUUUCUUAUUAAUCAAGUAAGGAAAAUGCUUUGGAUCCUACAAAAUAUUGUCCUUGCAAAUUAUAUGUAGGUAAUUAAGCAAACACAUUUAUUAUCUAUAGAAGUGCCACAUCAUGUGAGCCAAUACAUUAACAACAUAUAAAUAAACAUAGCAUUAAUUGGAAGGGUCCAUAACAUUACUCAUCAAGCAACGUGUCUAUUUCGUACCAUUGACUUCCGACACUUAUUUUGAUGCUUAGAGUGAUAGAUUUUCAAAAGUCCGUGGACCUUUUUAUAUAUAUAUAUAUAUAUAUAUAUAUAUAUAUAAAUAACAUUGUUAGAAAUUGAAAAAUUUUGAUUGGAUUUAUUUCUUUAAUAAAUUUUAACACUAGGGCGUGUUUGGUUCGAAGUCGGAGUCGGAAUCGGAAUCGGAAUCGGAAUCAAAAUAAGCUGGAAUCGGAAUCAAAAUGACUCAUUACCUAAUUCUGUUUGAUUCAUCACCUGAAUCGGAAUCGGAAUAAAUCAUUCCCAUUAUGGGUGUUUGGUUCAGAUGAAUAUAAAAACGUAAUCAAAUUAAUAUACUAACAUUAUCUUUAUAAUAUAUUAAUUUAACUUUAAAUUAAAUAUUUAAUAUUAAAAAUUUACAUCAAAAUUUUGAAAUAAUGUCAAAAUUUUAAAUCUAUUUUUUUUAAAAAAAAUUAAACUUUGAAGUUGAAUGGAUAAUUCAAAAUAUGAAACUAAUUAAAUUUUGAUUUAUUCAAAUUCAAACUUAAAAUUAUAAUUUAAAUUUUAAUUUGAAUUCAUAAAUUUAAUUUAAGUUUGAAAUAAAAUUUGAAUAAACUUUAUAUAAAUUAAAAUUUAAUUUAAAUUCAAAUUCAUAAGUUAGAUUUGAAAUACUUCAUUAAAUUUUAAACUUUAAUUUAAGUUCAAAUUAAAAUUUAAAAUUAUAUAUUUAAUUUUUAAAUUUUAACUCAUAUUUUAAUUAAAAAAGUUGAAAAAAUAAAUUUAAUCCGAAUAAAUAUCCAUUCCGUCCGGAUUCAACUUCUAAUCCGGCCUUCUAGGCCGGAUUGAAAAAAGGGGUGAUUAAGCGAUUUCCAUUCCACUCGGGAAUCGGAAUCGGAAUGGGACUUUCAUGUAUUAAAUACCCACAAACGGAUUCACUCAUUCCCAUUCCGAUUCCAUGGUGAAAAAGAAGCGAACCAGACACACCCUAAAUUUUAAUUUGACUUUUGUGGUUUAUCUCAUUUUAUUUUGUCCCUCUAUGAUUCAAAAAGUUGUAUUUAAUUAUCCUGUGAUUUUAUUUCUACUUUUACUUAAGAAUCUACUAGCAAAAAAAAAAUAUUAACAAAGUAAAUAUAGAAAUAAAAUUACGGAAUAGUUAAGUGCAACCAUUUAAAACAUAGAAUGGUAAAGUAAAAAUAAGCUAAACUAGUUAAGUAUACAUAACGUUAAAAUGCAAUACGAGCUAAACCAGGAGCUGAGGAUAAUGCCAAAAUGAAAUACGUACGAGUGUGGUGCGUGAGAAUGCAUGCGUACACUACGUGCAGCCAAUGAUUUUUUAGGGCAGAUAGAACUCUUUACUUUUAGAGAUGCUCAAAAUAUUACACUAAUUAUGUAUUAUUAAGAAUUAGGCUAAAUGCUAUCAACAGCACGGAGUCUUUUAUGUUACGAAGUUAUUUUUAAUAAUGAGGCUUUCGAAUUCAUGACCGGCACUAUUAGAUUUGAUCUACGCGAUUAGAAAUAUUUAGAAAUCAAAUUUCACGAUUUUUCGACAUUAUUUACAUAUCAAUUGAGUAAUCUAAAAUAAAUGGCUAAAAAUAAAAAUCUCUUAAACAACAAUAAUAAAAUAUUUGAAUUUUAGAUCAGAGAUACUUAUCUCGCUCUAAAUAGUGAAAAGAAUUUUCGAUCAAAAUUUCAAUAGAUGUGCAUUAUCUUACACCGCUAAACUCACAAAAGCAUCACAUCGGGCUUUAAAUUGAUCAAUUUUAAAACAUUUUGGUCACUAAUCAAAUGAUGUCGAUUAAAUAUAUAAAAUUUGGUUUUUAAAUAUUUUCAAUAACGUAAAUCAAGUUUGAAGAAACCGAUCGUCGAUUUAGAAGCUACACUAUUGAAAAUAACUUGGCAGUACAGAAACUCCAUACACCUAUAGAUUUCUAGCUGGAUUCAUAUUAUUAAUAUAUAAGCAUUCUUAAUAUGAAGUGGUGAAAUCUUGUGAGGGCUAAAGAUAUGUCACCAAUAAACAAUUUAUCCAAACAUUAAAAGACAUUUCUUAAACGAGUUAUAAAUACUUUAAAGGCCUUCUAGUAAAAACAAAAAAAAAUCCACUAGUUUAACAUUUUUGCAAAAGAGGGUAAUGUUUUCCGCUUUUGCAGAUUUAAUUCAAAUUUUUUGAAAUGAUCAAAAUAUUUAUGUUCUCUCUCUUUUUGUUUUCUUUCUCCUCCCCAACCUCGUGCAUAAGUAAAAGGACGAUGGCGAAGUUUGACUCGCCCAUAGCCAUGGCCGUAGCCAUCCUCGAAAUUCUCCAACAAGGUCACCGCGGUAAAGAUGUGGAUGACGCUACCCGAAGUAUUGUCAGAGUUGGAGAGUGAGUUGGUAGAUGAGGAGGGUGAAGAUCACUAGACGAGAAUCUUCCAGAAGCAAGUUUGCGAGCGUGGUCACGACGGCAAAGUAGUGGUGAUAGUAAGAAAGAAAAAUUUGACGAACGAAGCGACGCUACACUAAUUUAAAAAAAAAUUGCACUAUUCAAACAUUUUACAAUAUAUAGCAAGAAAGUUACACUAUUUGUGUGUGUGUGUAUAUAUAUAUAUAUAUAUAUAGAGUUGAGCUGGAAUGCUAUCGGUAGCAAAUGGGCUCCGUUGCCACCCAUUUGUUUUCGAUGAUGGAGCCUUCAAAUCGACGAUCGACACUGUUGAACAUGAUCUAUAUCAUUUGAAGUAUCUAGAAAUCAAAUUUCAAAUAUUUUCGAUAUCAUUGACCUAAUGAUCAAAGGGUUUCAAAAUUUAUAAUUUUAAUGGUCGAUAUGAGCCGUUUUCUUGUUUAACGGUGUAAAGCUAUCCAAUUCAAUUGAAUUUUGGUUAGAAAAUUCUUUAAACCAUUUAGAACAAGAUCUGUACUCUAGAUCUUGAUUACAAAAUUCCUAUCAUCACUUUUUAGAGGAUAUUCAUUUUCAGCCGUUCAUUUUUACGCCCACUUGAUGAACAAGAGAACAAUAUCAAAAAAGUAUGAAAUUUGAUUUCUAGAUACUUCAAGUGGUAUAGAUCAUUUUCAACGGUACCGAUCGUCGAUUUGGAGGCUCCAUCAUCGAAAACAAAUGGGUGGCAACGGAGCCCGUUUGCUACCGAUAGUAUUCUAGCCCAACUCUCUCUCUCUCUCUCAUAAUGUCAUACAAUAUGUGUAAAACAAAUAAAAAAUAUUCAUUUAUAUGAUUCAAAUACGCAUGAUACAGUAAAUGUGAAUAAGUCGGCUACGAUUAUGAAAACAUAUGAAAGUACAAUAUGGCAAUACAAUUACCGGACUGUGUACUUUAAGUGAUUGAAUUGGGCAACAGAUGAUAAUUUUUUUCAGAUAUAAUAAUGCUAAUAAUGACCAUAGAUAGAUGAAUGAGUCAAGUAUAUGUCAGCAUGUGUUAUCUCAUAUUAUAUAUAUGUAAGUUCAGUACCUGACCACUUAUCGUCUAAAUCAUAACUGAUUAGUAAAUUUAAUAUAUGUAUUAAUAUUACUAAACAAAAAAGGGAUAAAAUAUAUAUAUCAAGCAUUGUUAUAUGUCUAUGUAUUAUAGCAUGAAUAAAACCUUAUAUUUAAUAUAGCUAAUUGGGUGUACCUAAAUAUAAUCGGAAAUCGAUACUUGAUAACUACUACAAUAUGCUACUACCAAACUAUAUAACCAAAAUAUAAGCAUAAAUCUGUACAACUAAUACAACAUAAAGCAACAUAAAAUAAGCAUUAUGGUAUUAUACUACUCAUUACCAUAUGAUGAAAAAGAGUAGAACUGGCAGGAAGGCAGUAUAUGAAAUAAUGCUAAAUGAGAAACUAAAUAAUUAACCCAAAAAAUCUGAGCGAUUAGCAGAUUAGGAGGUGAGUGAGCAGGCACUAUAAAUCUAUAGCUGGAGCUACAACUGGCACAUACAGAGAAGGCGACAACCGCAAGGGAUGCAAAAGAAGCAACCUACAACUUAUGAGACAAGGUCGAAAGGAAAUAGGUGUAUCAUACGAUAGACAAAUUUAUUGAUAACUCUCGAGAUAAUAAGUACAUAAAUUAAUUGUAUAGUAAACAAUUAUUGACUUAGAUGAAUGAUUAGAAGAUCAUAUAUAUACAGUAAAUGUAUAUUAUGGAAGGUAUGAAUGCAUAUGGUUGUUUAUUAAUUAAAUUAGUUUUAGUAAUAGUUAUUUAUUUAGUUAAUAAUACAAUGCUAACUAUCAUACAUGAGAUCAAUAAGUUAUACUUAUUAUAAAUAUAUAGAAUAUAUAUAUUAUGUGAUGUAAUGAUCUCACCACUCAUAUUCACAUUAUUUAAUAAGUAAUCCGAUCGGUUGUCUAUUUUGAUCAUAUAAAAAGAUGUGUUUAACUCAAUACUAUAUUCGAAGAAAACGUUGGCCGGUAUGGCCUAAUGUAAUACACACUAACAUAUAUAUAGUGUAUGUAUAUAACAGUAAUCAAAAAUAUAUUAGUCAUAUUUAUUGUUUGGUAAAACUUACUAACUUACCUAAAUAUAAGGGCCUUUUUGAAAUCCUAGCAUAAGUCAUUUUAUAUGUCAAAAUUACAUAUUAUUAAAUUCAUGAUAUUCAAUUCCUUAUCAGAUAUUGCUUGAUGUUAGUAUAGGUCAAAUCACGAAUGUCUUACUGUACAUUUUAUGAGAAAUUAUAUUAAGCUAAUUUAUCCUUCAAUAAAAUUAUUAAUUUAAUACAUACACAAAAAUUACAAUGAUUUAUAAAUAAUAACAAUCAAUAUAUGGAAAAAAGAUAAAUAAUGAUUGUAUAAUUGAUAUUUAAAUAAACACUAAAUCAACAUAAGUGAGUAAUUAAGAUAUGAUGCUUAUAACAAUCAAUAGUCACUAAAUUAAAAUUAUUCACAAAAUGACUCAUAAUAUUAUAUUUGAGCUAAAAAUUAUGUAAUAGCAUAUAAAUUUAUAUAUCAUAUAGUACAUAUGACUCACUAUAAUGUUCCGUAUGUUUUCCAAAUUCUACUGUUCAUCAAGGUAGUACUUUACCUUAGUUUGACUUUACUCCACAAAGUAUAUAUUAUUAUUCUAGACUUAUUAGUCAUGAGGAUGUAUAAUAUACAUAUAUACAAUAUGUAUAUUACAUAGUGUAUAUAUACAUAUAUAUACAUUACGUUUAUCGUUAGUUAACUAAGCGUUAGAAUAUAUUUCAAAUUAAAUUCCUUAACCCAUAUAGAUUGCUAUUAUUUUUUGCUUAUUUUAUCUUGAACAAUACUAUAUAUGUAUAGGUAUAUGUAUAUAUCAUAUGUAUAAAACAAAGAGUUUGCAAUAAGUAUUACACAAUUAUUGGUCGAAAUGUCCAUUGAUUAACUUUAUAUAAUAUAUAUUUCCUAUAUACUCAUAGCAGAAGGUAUAUUAGAGCCAUUCCUUAUUAUUAUUACGAGUAUUAAUAUAAUAUAAGACAUAUAGAUAUGUGUUCUGUAUUUUCAAUAGAAUAAAAUAGUAAUUUAAUUAUCAAAUCAGAAGAAAUAGUUAUAUAUUUUCUUCUCCAAUUAUUCUUUGUUCAUUUAUAAUUCAACAUAAUAUGAGUAAAGUACUCAAGCUAGAGUCAAUACAUAUUACAUGUAUACAUAUAUAUGUAUAUAAAUGUUAUUUUCAUAUAGUAAUACAUGUAUAUGUAUACAUAUAUACAUAUAAUCAUAUGUAUAUAUAUAAUGUAUAGAUGUAACAUAUGUAUAUAUGUAAAUUGUAUACAUAUACAUGUUAAUGACAUAUGUAUAUAUAUAUAUAUAUGUAUAUAUAUGAUACAUAUGUAAACAGAAAAAAAAAAAAACAUUAUAUGUAUAAUAUAUAUAAUAUUAUAUCAUAUAUAUAUUAUACCAUAUGUAUACAUGUAUAUUAGCACGUAUACAUAUUGUAACACUAUAUAUAUCAUAUAUACAUAUACAUGUAUAUAUGUUCAUAUAUACUAUAUACAUAUACAUGUAUAUAUGUAUAUAUAUACUAUACAUGUAUAGUAUGUAUACAUAUCUUGUAACAUGUAUAUAUGUAAUAGCAUAUAUAUGUAAUACUAUAUACAUGUAUAUGUAUAUAUGUAAUUAUAUGUGAUACAUAUAUAUAUACUAUGUAUAUAUAUAUAUACAUAUAUAUAUAACAUGUAUAUAUAUUAUUAAUAGGCGGAUAAGCAUGUAUUAUAUGUACAUAUAAUCAUAAUACAAUAUACAUAAUAUAAGUAUACAUAUAUAUGUAUACAUAAAUAUCAUGUAUAUGAUAUUGUUAAUAAUAUAUAACAUGUAUAUAUUAUACAUGUAUAUAUAUAUACAUGUAUAUAAUAUAUAUACAUGUAUAUAUACAUGUAUAUAUGUAUACAUAAUAUAGUAUACAUAUAUACAUGUAUAUAUGUAUACAUAUAUAUGUAUAAUAUAUAAUGUUAUGAAGUAUAUAUAUAUGUAUCAUAUAUACAUGUAUAUGUAUAUAUAUAUAAUCUAUAUAUAUAUAUGUUAACAAUAUAUAUAUUUAUAUGUAUACAAUAUAUAUAUACAUAUAUAUAUUAUAUAUGUAUAUCAUCUAUAUAUAUAUGUAUACAUAUAUAUAUAUAUAUGUAUACAUAGCAUAUUAAUCCAUAUGUAUACAUACAUAUAUAUAUAUAAUAAUAUACAUAUAUAUAUAUAUAUAUUUAUAAGUACAUAUAAUAUAUUUAUAUAUAUCAUAUUAUAUAUUAUCAUAAAAUAUGUAUAACAUAUGAUAGUAUGUAUGAUAUAUCAAUGUGUAUGUAUAUAUAUACAAUAUAUAUACAUAUGUAUAAAAAAAAAAAACAUAUAUACAUAUUACAUUGUAUAUCAUAUCUAUACGAUAUGUACAUAUAUAUACAUAUAUAUACAAUGUAACAUAUUAUAUAUAUGUAUACAUAUGUAUACUACAAGAAUAUAUACAUAUACAUAUAUAUAUAUAUAUGUGACAUAUACAUAAUAUAUGAUAAUGUACAUAUAUACAUAUAUAUGUAUAAAUGUACAUAUCAUACAUAUAUAUGUAUAAUGUACAAUGUAUAUGUAAAUGUUCAUAUAUAUAUACAUGGUAUAUGUCUACAUGUAAUGUAUAACAUACUGAGUUAAUAUAUAUAUACUAUACCAUUAAUAUACAUGUACGUACUAUGUACAUGUAUACAUAUAUAUAGCACAUGUAAAUAUAUAUGUUCUGUACAUAUAUAUAUACAUGUAUAACAUAAUGAUAUAUACAUAUAUAUGGUAUAUAGUACAUGUAAUGUACAUGGUAUAAAAUAUAUAUAAUAUAUGUAUAUGUAGCAUAUAUAUAUAUUACAUAGUAUAUAAUUAUAUUAUAACAUACACAUCAUGUAUAUAUAUACAUAUAUUACAUAUGUUAUAUAAUGUAUAUUAUUAUAACAUACAGAUAUACUACAUAUACAUAUACAUAACAGAUAUAACAUUACCACUAUAGCAUAAUAUACAAUGCAUAAACAUAUAUACUCACAUAUGCAUACUACAUAGGCAUAUCAUAUAUACAUAUACAUUUGCAAAUACACAUACAUAUACAAUUUGCAUAUACAUAUACAUAUACAUAAUACAUAUACAGCAUAUACAUAUGUAUAAAUAUAUAACAUAUAUAUGUAUAUGUAUAUAUAUUAUACAUAUACAUAUAUAUAUAGUAUGGGUAGAAUACGUGUAAAAGUAUCAUGGGGCUGAUAUUUGUGUCUUUUUAGCCCUUGGUGGAAGAGAUGUGAGGUUGAGAUGAGUGGUAGUGCGAGGUGGUGGGUAGUGGUGGUGGUGAAUAGUGUUUUAAUCAAGGAUAUUAAUAAUGCAAAAAGUAAAUGGGGCAAGUUGGCUUAAAAGCCUGAAUGCACCAUGAUAUGGUGAUACUGUAAAAUAUCGAGUGAGCCAACUCUAUAUAUAUAACAUAUACAUAAUAUAUAUAUNNNNNNNNNNNNNNNNNNNNNNNNNNNNNNNNNNNNNNNNNNNNNNNNNNNNNNNNNNNNNNNNNNNNNNNNNNNNNNNNNNNNNNNNNNNNNNNNNNNNUAUAUAUAUAUAUAUAUAUAUAUAUAUAUAUAUAUACACGUAAUUUAUUUUUGUUUAUUUAUACAAUAUAUAAAAUAUUUAAUAAUUUUUAUUCUUUAGAUCUUCAUCCAACGGGCGCCUGCCCGCGUGGCGCUGACGUGGUGCCUGCGUGGCAGGCCCAGGACUAUUUUUGCAAAUUAAAUUUUGACAGCGCUAUUUUUAAAAUAAAAAUUUAUCAGGGGUCUAAAUGCAAAAAAAACCCUAAAAUAAUCAUUUUCGUUGUAUUUCCAGCGAGAGAAUAACUUGGGGCAUGUUUGGUUGAUGAGAAACAAAGGAUAAAGAAAAAUUAAUCCGAAUCCGAACUCCACUAUCAAAUCCAAAACUUGAACCCUAACCUGAAUCUUUAAAAACUAGUAUCCAAAUCUGAAUCUGACUAAAAAUCCGAAAUCCAAACCCAAACUCAAAACAAUUAUUUUUAUUAUUUCAAAACAUAUUACAUUAGAUCUAAAUUUUUAAAUUACAAAUUCAAAUAUAACGCCAAACGUUUUGCUUUUUUUCCCUGUCCGAAAAUAUCUCUAUUUUUUCAGAAUUUUCAUGUCAAGUCUUUUGGAAUCAUUCUGUUCGAAUUAUCCAUUAAAUAAUAAUUUAUUUUAAAAUAUAGAUUUUAAUUUUUCGCUAUUGAUUUUGGGGAAAACUUCAAAAAACCCCCCUGUGGUUUUAUAAUUUCUCACUUUGCCCCCCUGUGGUUUAAAAUGUAUCAAUUUGCUCCCCUGCGGUUUUGUUUUUCUCUUUUUCUUAUCAAUUUCAUUAUUUUUUUCCUUAAAUUAGUAAUAAAGUUAAAAUUAAAAGGUACUAAAGUGAAUAUUUGAUAAAUAUAGAUGGGUAUCUGAAGUUUUUUGUAUAUAAUUUAACGAAAUAUUAACGAAAAAGCUACCGAAAAGAUAAAAACGAAACCACAGGGGGGCAAAUUGAUACACUUUAAACCACAGGGGGGCAAAGUGAAAAACUACGAAACCACAGGGGGGUUUUUGAAGUUUUCCAUUGAUUUUAUCCAACGGUUGAAAAUAAAAAUAUUUUACACUUUUUGUGAUAAUAAUACUUUCGUAUUUUCUUACAGGUAAUAUCCAUCACGCAAUAUUCGCUAUGUACAACGAGUUUAUCAAAAUAUUUUUUUUCUCACACAUAAUAUCCAGCCUAUCAUUCCAUCAUAAUACUUAUUUUUCCUCUCACACAUAAUACUCCCACCUAUUAUCUCAUGACAAUACUUAUCCUUUCUCAUACUUAAUAUCCGCUACUUAAUCGUCUCAUAUAGUCCUAUACGAUAAUGCCAUAUAACUACUAGAUAUUUUUAUUAUUUUUUAAUAUUAGAUAAUAAUUUUAAAUCGUGGGAAAUAUGUUNCACCUAUUAUCUCAUGACAAUACUUAUCCUUUCUCAUACUUAAUAUCCGCUACUUAAUCGUCUCAUAUAGUCCUAUACGAUAAUGCCAUAUAACUACUAGAUAUUUUUAUUAUUUUUUAAUAUUAGAUAAUAAUUUUAAAUCGUGGGAAAUAUGUUAACAUAAUAACAUUGCCCUACCAUUAUAAUAAAGCAAAAUAGAAAUAAUUUAUCUCCCUUUCCUCUCUCUUCUAUGUUGUUUAAGCAAAAAAAACUAAAAAAAAAAAAAAUUCCUAGUGCAAACUUUUUGGAAUCUGUCAAAUUAUUAUAUUGUUCAGAUUGUUUUUUUUAAAUUUGUGUUAUUAAUUUCCGACGAAAUUUUAUUUUGAAGACAUUUUUAAUAUUGUUCAAAUAUUAUCAGAUAAAUUAUUUCGACAUUCAAAUAUAUAUAUAUGAUCAAUAUUGAUUUUCUUGCGUAGAUUGAUUUGUAUAAUAUAGAUCAUAGUAUCAGAUGUAACAUAGGUGAAAAUAGAGAUAGUGUAGUAGUGUUUGUCUAUUUGUCCGUAAUUGAUUUCUGAACUGAAAUCGACAUUAAAUUGAACUAAAAUUUAGGUAAUUUUUUUUCUUAAAAUGAAGUUUAGGUAAAAAUUACUUUUCUACUAUUGUUUGUUUGAUGAAAAAUCAAUGGUUAGAAUAAGAAGUUUUUUUUUUUGGUCAAUUUUAUUGUUUAUUUAACAAAAAAAUGAGGAAUAUCAUUGGUUUCCAUUUCGCAACCAAGUCUCAAAUCUCUUAAUUUUAUUGCAAUUACAUCACAACCCUUAAAAAAGGUUAAAAUUAUCAUCAGAAUUGCCAUGUCAGCGCCUACGUGGAUUCGUUUUGCAAGUCAAUUUUUGUCCCUAAACUUUACAUGUUUUUUUACUUUAGUCCUCAAAAAGAAAAAUUAAAAAAAAUAUGAAAAUUAAAUUCAAAAUUAAUAUUAAAAUUGAAAUUUAAAACUAAUCAGAAAUUAUAAUUUUGAAUUUGAAUAUAAAAAUACAAUUUUGAUUUAAAGCUGAAUUUAAAUUUUGAAUUGUAAUUCAAAUUUUAAAUUGAAUCUAAAUUUUGAAUUCAAACUUAACGUUUUUAUUUUGAUUUUGAAAUUUGAAUUUGCAUUUAAAGUAAAAAUUUUAAAAGUAAAAUUUAAAUUUAAAAUAUAAAUUUGAAUUUAAAAUCAAUUUAAAAAUUUUGAUUUUAAAUUUAAAAUUUAAAUUCAAAAUUUAAAAUUGAAUUGGAGAUUCGAUUUCAAUUCUAAAUUUGAAUUUAACUUCGAAUUCAAAUUUGAAUUUGAAAUUCGAAAUCGAUUUUUGAAAUUAAAUUUGAAGUAGAAUUCAAAUUGUGAAUUUAAAUUUCAAAUUAAAUACAAAAUCGGAAUUUGAAUUUGAAUUAGAUUUGAAUCCAAUAUCAAAAUUUAAAUUUAAAAUUUAAAUCUUAAAUAAAAAAAUUUUCUUUGAAUUUAUAAUUUAAUUUAUAAUAUAAUUUAAUAUUUGAAUCUAAAAUAUAAAUUAAAAUUAUAUAAUUAGCUUGCGCUGACACUGCGCCUCCGUGACGCUGACAUAGUACUGACGUAGUAUUUUUCGUCAAUUUUAACAUCUAUUCUCAUGGCUAAGAUUCAAUUAUAAUAAACUUAAGAGUUUGGGAACUUCUUUGCAAAAAAAAAAAAAUUGGAGACUAAAGUUAAAAAAAAUGCAAAGGUUGGAAACCAAUAGUGUAAUUAAUCCAAAAUUUUUUUGCCGAAUAGUUUUAUAAAAUUUAUAUUUACAGAAAUCAUUCUCUUCUGGCCAUAUGAGUACCAUGUUAGAAUUCCAAGUUGAAGAUAAUAGUUCAUUUAUCGUAUUUAAAUAUGGUAAAAAAAUUACCGUGUUUUCUUUGCCUUAGCAAAGUAAAGACUAAAUCAAAGAGAAUACAUUGAAUACAGUAAAUAAAUUAUUGUAUUCAACAACCUAUCCUGUAUGGCGCUCCUAUGGCAGAAAAAGAUUAUUUCUGCAAAUAUAAAUUUAUAGAGACAAUUUAAAAAAAAACAAAAAAAAAAGCUAAAAACCAAAAAAAAAAAACUGUUUUUCUUUUUUUCUUUUUUUUUUUCUUCAUAAUCAGUAUCACCACGAACCAAAACGAAGUUAAUUCUAUGCUAUUAAAAAAUCAAAGUUACCACCAAACUAAAUAUUUGAUGAAUCAAAUAAUAAAUAGAAAUAUUUACGAUCGAAAAUUACUUCACUUUUUUGACAAGGGAAAAUGAAGAUGCCUGCAUAGAACAAAUUUUAGGCAGUGCAUGGGUGAAGUGGUGGGACAGUUCUAGCAUGAGAAUACCAGACCAAGACAAGCUUAGAAAAAAAAGAUGUAAAUGCCAAAAAAAAGUAAAAAAUUGUACAUUUAGUCCUCAAACUAUGAGACGAGUGAAAAUUUAGUUUUUACACUUUAAUUUAUUAUAAUUUAUUUUUUUUUUCAGAAUUAAUGCAUUUAAAUUCUGCAAUUUAAUUUAGUUGAUUAAUUUCAACGCAUCACUGCUAUUAAAGUAAUAUAAUAUUUUAAUUAUUAAUAUAUCAUCGGUCACAAUAUUAUUAUAUCGCCUCUAUUAUACAUAGUAAUAUUCAGUCGACUAAAUUGAGUUAUAAAACUAGAUUACAAUAAUUCUGAAUGUUCGAGUUAAAAAUUUCAGCAAAUUAAAAUUUUAGAACCAAAGUGUCGGGCAUCAUAGUUUGAGGACUAAACAUAUAAUUUAUCAAAAAAAAAGAAUAAACUUCAAAUAUCACCCUCGCACUUUCUCACUUUAGUAUCUUUGUUUUAAAGUGUAUUAAUUUACUAUCAUGUUAUUUUAUUUUCUCUUUUUCGUCCGUCCCCCGUUAAACUCAUUGUUAAAUUAUAUCUAAAAAAACUUCAGAUAUCCUAUCUAUAAUUUAUCAAAUAUUCACUUUAGUAGUUUUUAGUUUGAGAAAAAUAAAAUUAAUAGAUAUGAAUAAAUAAAAUCACCGGAUAUAAAAAUGAUGCAUUUUAAAUUAUAAAAUACUAAAAUAAAAUUAUGUGAAGCCAUUUUUACCAAAAAAAAAAUAAAAAAAAUAAAAAAAAAGUGAAAAAAGA